AUUGAACGCUGGCGGCAGGCCUAACACAUGCAAGUCGAACGGUAACAGGAAGAAGCUUGCUUCUUUGCUGACGAGUGGCGGACGGGUGAGUAAUGUCUGGGAAACUGCCUGAUGGAGGGGGAUAACUACUGGAAACGGUAGCUAAUACCGCAUAACGUCGCAAGACCAAAGAGGGGUACCUUCGGGCCUCUUGCCAUCGGAUGUGCCCAGAUGGGAUUAGCUAGUAGGUGGGGUAACGGCUCACCUAGGCGACGAUCCCUAGCUGGUCUGAGAGGAUGACCAGCCACACUGGAACUGAGACACGGUCCAGACUCCUACGGGAGGCAGCAGUGGGGAAUAUUGCACAAUGGGCGCAAGCCUGAUGCAGCCAUGCCGCGUGUAUGAAGAAGGCCUUCGGGUUGUAAGUACUUUCAGCGGGGAGGAAGGGAGUAAAGUUAAUACCUUUGCUCAUUGACGUUACCCGCAGAAGAAGCACCGGCUAACUCCGUG
rnacentral:rRNA from 1 species